AGUGAACGCUGGCGGUAGGCCUAACACAUGCAAGUCGAACGGCAGCACAGUAAGAGCUUGCUCUUACGGGUGGCGAGUGGCGGACGGGUGAGGAAUACAUCGGAAUCUACUUUUUCGUGGGGGAUAACGUAGGGAAACUUACGCUAAUACCGCAUACGACCUACGGGUGAAAUCAGGGGAUCUUCGGACCUUGCGCGAUUGAAUGAGCCGAUGUCGGAUUAGCUAGUUGGCGGGGUAAAGGCCCACCAAGGCGACGAUCCGUAGCUGGUCUGAGAGGAUGAUCGGCCACACUGGAACUGAGACACGGUCCAGACUCCUACGGGAGGCAGCAGUGGGGAAUAUUGGACAAUGGGCGCAAGCCUGAUCCAGCCAUACCGCGUGAGUGAAGAAGACCUUCGGAUUGUAAAGCCCUUUUGUUGGGGAAGAAAAGCAGCAGGUUAAUACCCCGCUGUUCUGACGGUACCCAAAGAAUAAGCACCGGCUAACUUCGUG
rnacentral:rRNA from 1 species